rnacentral:lncRNA from 1 species
GAAACUCCAUCCUCAAUAAAAUGAAGGGAUAGCUGUAACUCUUAACCAAAAUAUAUAAAGGCAAAAAGCAGAUGGAAAAGUAAUGACCUGAUUCCCUUUCAGCAUCUGCAGUCAGGAACUUUUGAAAGAAGCUGUAUUGUACAGAAAACCUGUAUGAAACAUGUAUGAGAAGUGUGAUAACAGAUCUGCCCAGAGUUCUACAAAGAAUGUUUCAUUUGGAGUAAUGCUUACCCCAGGUGGGGAUGGAGGGUAGGUGAUGGGCAGUAAAGCCUACCCUGAUAUCUGCAGCUUAACAGUCAUUUGUACAGUACAUCUGUUAACCAGAAGGCCAACCAGACUUCAACUCUUAAUUGCUUUGCUAACGGCUAUAUUGAAAAACUUCCUCAUCUCACCACCAUCUGGUGUCAUUAACCUCUGCAAUCUUUCUAGGCAAUGUGUGUGUUGUUGGGUGUAUGUUAAAGGACAUUUUCAGGGAAUUUUUUUCUUAGAAUUACUUUUAGUAAGUCAGUAAAACUUAAUUCAUCUCCCCUCAUCCUCAUUCUAUUGAAUCUCAAAAUGUC